UACGUAGGGUGCAAGCGUUAAUCGGAAUUACUGGGCGUAAAGCGUGCGCAGGCGGCUAUGCAAGACAGAUGUGAAAUCCCCGGGCUCAACCUGGGAACUGCAUUUGUGACUGCAUGGCUAGAGUACGGUAGAGGGGGAUGGAAUUCCGCGUGUAGCAGUGAAAUGCGUAGAUAUGCGGAGGAACACCGAUGGCGAAGGCAAUCCCCUGGACCUGUACUGACGCUCAUGCACGAAAGCG
rnacentral:rRNA from 1 species